rnacentral:miRNA from 1 species
CGGGUCUGGGCACGCGC